rnacentral:lncRNA from 12 species
AUGGAAAUUCAUGUUUAUCUUUUCACUUGCCUCAUAGGUAAAGCACUGAGCCUUUUGCCUCCUAAGGGUGAAGACACCGUGGUAAAGGCAUUCCUGCAGCUCCUCUGUGAUCCAGGAACUGGCAUGGAAAUACUCCAUGGAGAAGUGGAAGGAGAGCAGGAGGCAAAGCAUCCCACUCUUGGCUGGCGCUUCAGACAGAACAGGAACUUGGUGACACCUCAGUGGAGGCACACAUUCCCAUACAUCUGGAUAAAGGGGAAAUGGCACCCAGGUUUGCACCGUAGCUUUUGUGCAGCUGUUCUCCCACCUGGAGCUUUCAGGCUGACAAUAUUUUUCCUUAGCGGCAAAGAUGGUUGACUUGAUUGCCUGACCGUUUGGUGCUGACACCCCUUAUCCUGUGAGGUGAUUGGAAUCUAACUGAAAUUACAGCAGUCAUUUUUUUCAACCAUGAAGUUUUGAAACUCAACUACUUUCUGAUUCACUUUACAAAGUUCUCCCACCGUCUUUCUCCUUCAGCAUUUAAUCUGUUUCAAAUUUAAGUUUACAAGGAGUACAAGAGCUUUGAUGAUUCCAUAUUUAUUAAAUGAAGAUCAAAGGCCCUCUUUGCUUUUUUUAGUCUUUUACAUCUGUGAGGGAUGACAUAACAUUUCAGAUGACAGUCUUUCUUUCCACCAAAGAAUGCCUUCAUUUUCAACCAUUUGCCUCUUUCUAAGCCUAAAUGUUCUCCAAAUUAUAAGCAUGCUGCCAUCACACAUGGCAUUUCAUUCAGUGUUACAUUUCGAGAACGCCAGGAAUAUAACACAUUAUUCUAUACUGCCACCAGAUUCUGCUUUGUCUCUUUACUUUGCACAAAGACCUGUGCCUAAUAAGACUGGCUUCAGUGCUUAAAGAAGAUUUAAGUCAAAGAUUGUUAUCUUCCUAAGCAGAUCUUGUCGAGAAGAUGGCUUUUUGCUGUAUUAUGUUGUUUCUGUCUAAUAAAGGAUAAUCAACAAAUUUAAAAGAUGGAUCA